rnacentral:rRNA from 1 species
AGGUAGUAAUAAAAUAAAUUAAAACCUAUUUAUAACGGCGGCAUUUCAUCUUAUUAGAGGAAUCUGUUUAUUAAUAGAUAAUACACAAUAAUUUUCACUUUAAAUAAUAAUUUAUAUAUCGCCAUCUAAAGAGUUAAAUCUUUCAAGUUUACUCUAAAUAAUUAUUAAAAAGUUAGGCCAUGAUGUAGUCUACAUUAAAGAAUAAUUAUGGAUUACAUUAAAGAAAUUUAUAGAUUAAUAUAAAUAAUUUAAUUAUAAAAAAGGAUUUAAAAGUAAUAAAUUAAUAAUAUUAAUUUAUUAAUAAGAUAAUAAAUGUGC